rnacentral:rRNA from 1 species
GAUGAACGCUGGCGGCGCGCCUAACACAUGCAAGUCGAACGGCACCUGCCUUCGGGCAGAAGCGAGUGGCGAACGGCUGAGUAACACGUGGAGAACCUGCCCCCUCCCCCGGGAUAGCCGCCCGAAAGGACGGGUAAUACCGGAUACCCCCGGGCGCCGCAUGGCGCCCGGGCUAAAGCCCCGACGGGAGGGGAUGGCUCCGCGGCCCAUCAGGUAGACGGCGGGGUGACGGCCCACCGUGCCGACAACGGGUAGCCGGGUUGAGAGACCGACCGGCCAGAUUGGGACUGAGACACGGCCCAGACUCCUACGGGAGGCAGCAGUGGGGAAUCUUGCGCAAUGGGGGGAACCCUGACGCAGCGACGCCGCGUGCGGGACGGAGGCCUUCGGGUCGUAAACCGCUUUCAGCAGGGAAGAGUCAAGACUGUACCUGCAGAAGAAGCCCCGGCUAACUACGUGCCAGCAGCCGCGGUAAUACGUAGGGGGCGAGCGUUAUCCGGAUUCAUUGGGCGUAAAGCGCGCGUAGGCGGCCCGGCAGGCCGGGGGUCGGAAGCGGGGGGCUCAACCCCCCGAAGCCCCCGGAACCUCCGCGGCUUGGGUCCGGUAGGGGAGGGUGGAACACCCGGUGUAGCGGUGGAAUGCGCAGAUAUCGGGUGGAACACCGGUGGCGAAGGCGGCCCUCUGGGCCGAGACCGACGCUGAGGCGCGAAAGCUGGGGGAGCGAACAGGAUUAGAUACCCUGGUAGUCCCAGCCGUAAACGAUGGACGCUAGGUGUGGGGGGACGAUCCCCCCGUGCCGCAGCCAACGCAUUAAGCGUCCCGCCUGGGGAGUACGGCCGCAAGGCUAAAACUCAAAGGAAUUGACGGGGGCCCGCACAAGCAGCGGAGCAUGUGGCUUAAUUCGAAGCAACGCGAAGAACCUUACCAGGGCUUGACAUAUGGGUGAAGCGGGGGAGACCCCGUGGCCGAGAGGAGCCCAUACAGGUGGUGCAUGGCUGUCGUCAGCUCGUGUCGUGAGAUGUUGGGUUAAGUCCCGCAACGAGCGCAACCCCCGCCGCGUGUUGCCAUCGGGUGAUGCCGGGAACCCACGCGGGACCGCCGCCGUCAAGGCGGAGGAGGGCGGGGACGACGUCAAGUCAUCAUGCCCCUUAUGCCCUGGGCUGCACACGUGCUACAAUGGCCGGUACAGAGGGAUGCCACCCCGCGAGGGGGAGCGGAUCCCGGAAAGCCGGCCCCAGUUCGGAUUGGGGGCUGCAACCCGCCCCCAUGAAGUCGGAGUUGCUAGUAAUCGCGGAUCAGCAUGCCGCGGUGAAUGCGUUCCCGGGCCU